UGGCUCUCGCAUCGAUGAAGAACGCAGCGAAAUGCGAUAAGUAAUGUGAAUUGCAGAAUUCAGUGAAUCAUCGAAUCUUUGAACGCACCUUGCGCCACGUGGUAUUCCACGAGGCACGCCUGUUUGAGUGUCACGAUCACCCUCGCGUCGCCGAAUGUCAUGUUCGGAGGGGCGGAUUUGGACGCUGCCGUCGUUGGCUCGUCUCGAAAUGCAUUAGCUGUCUAAGGACUACGCCUCUGGUGUGAUAAUUUACUUCUCGCCGUCGGUGCAUGUCUGGUGAAGGCUCACAAACCGUCCGCAAGGACACUAUUAAAGCUUUGGCCUCAAAUCAGGCGGGACUACCCGCUGA
rnacentral:misc_RNA from 1 species